rnacentral:lncRNA from 1 species
GAACCAUUUUCCUCCAUUGUGAGCUGAUACGUGACCAGAUCUGCAGACAUGUAAAAUUGUGAAGUUAUUCCCUUGUCUUUAGGUAUUUGCCUCAAUGCAAAUUCAAAUGUAAUAAUUUUUUUUAUUUCUCUUAAAAUAUGUCAGUUAAUUAUUUGAUUUUUUCUCAAUUUUGGUGGUUUUAUAGAAAUGCUGAAUAGGCUCAAUGGGUUUUAGAUGUUUUAUGUCUAUUAUUCUACUCUAGUCUAUAAUUAUCUGGAUAUUCAUUGACUCCUAGCUCAAAAUUAGUUCCUUGGAAAAUUUGAAGACUUUCCACUAUUUCCUCUUCCCCCUCAUCUAUUUCCCAUUUUCUCCCCCAUUUCCAUCUCUUUCCCCCAUUCCUCAUCCUUUAUAUAUAUAUAUAUAUAUAUAUAUACAUAUAUAUAUAUAUAUAUGUGUGUGUGUGUGUGUGUGUGUGUGUGUGUGUGUGUGUGUGUGUACUUGCUUUUUUAUUAUCUUGUCUAAUGUUGAGAUUGCUGUGGAAAACCUAAAAUCAUGAUCAGAUGGUCACAGUUCUUUGAUCAUCUUCUUCUUCUUCUUCUUCUUCUUCUUCUUCUUCUUCUUCUUCUUCUUCUUCUUCUUCUUCUUCUUCUUCUUCUUCUUCC